rnacentral:rRNA from 1 species
GGAGUUAGCCGGUCCUUCUUCUGUUGCUAACGUCACAGCUAACGGGUAUUAACCGUUAACCUUUCCUCACAACUGAAAGUGCUUUACAACCCGAAGGCCUUCUUCACACACGCGGCAUGGCUGCAUCAGGGUUUCCCCCAUUGUGCAAUAUUCCCCACUGCUGCCUCCCGUAGGAGUCUGGACCGUGUCUCAGUUCCAGUGUGGCUGAUCUUCCUCUCAGAACAGCUAGAGAUCGUCGCCUUGGUGAGCCUUUACCUCACCAACAAGCUAAUCUCGCUUAGGCUACUCUUUGCGCGGGAGCCGAAGCCCCCUUUGGUCCGAAGACGUUAUGCGGUAUUAGCUAUCGUUUCCAAUAGUUAUCCCCCACACAAAGGCAUAUUCCUAAGUAUUACUCACCCGUCCGCCACUCGUCAUCUUCUAGCAAGCUAGAAAUGUUACCGUUCGACUUGCAUGUGUUAGGCCUGCCGCCAGCGUUCAAUCUGAGCCAUGAUCAAACUCUACUGG